rnacentral:sRNA from 1 species
GCCGGGUGUGGUAGCUCACGCCUGUAAUCCCAGCAGCUCUGGAGGAGGAGACAGGAGGAUGGUGAGUUCAAAGCCAGCCUCAGCAAUGGCAAGGCACUAAGCAACUCAGUGAGACCCUGUCUCUA